rnacentral:rRNA from 1 species
UACGUAGGGUGCAAGCGUUGUCCGGAAUUUAUUGGGCGAAAGAGCGUGUAGGCGGCCCGAUUAGUCCGCUGUGAAAGUCCAGGGCUCAACCCUGGAAUGCCGGUGGAUACUGUCGGGCUAGAGUCCGGAAGGGGCGAGUGGAAUUCCUGGUGUAGCGGUGAAAUGCGCAGAUAUCGGGAGGAACACCGGUGGCGAAGGCGGUUCUCUGGGCCUUACCUGACGCU